AAUAAAUGCAUAGAUCAGGCGGUCCUCCAUACGGGGGACGCAGCCGGGCCAAGAGCAGCGGUUCAUGGACCGCGGGACUAAU
rnacentral:ncRNA from 2 species